AUGCCCGAAGGCUCAGACGUGCCUGCGACUGGCUCCGUCAGGAGGAAACUUGGAGCCCGGGCAGAGGCAGGGUCCUGGUCUGUGCAGGGUCCCCAGGUCCUGGGGGGGUCCUGCUCUGUGCGGGGUCCCCAGGUCCUGAGGGGGGGCACUUCUGGUCUGUGCGGGGUCCCCAGGUCCUUGGGGGGGUUCCUGGUCUGUGCAGGGUCCCUGGGUCCUGGGGGUGGGGGUCGGGUCCUGGUCUGUGUGGGGUCCGAGAGCAGCAGGAAGCUGGCUCUCACAAGGAGAGGAACUGCCAGGCUUUGUCCGGGAGCCUUGGUCUGUGCUAUGGGCCUGUGUGUGGCUCCCGUGUCGACACGGAUGCGUGUCCACCAGGCCCGGUGGCCCGGACCACAGGGUGAGAGCCGUCUUCACGUCCGCCUGCAGGUCUUAGUCUGGGUCUCCUGCAAAACCGGCCACUUGGCAGGGGAACCGGUUAGCGGCCGCUCGGCAGGCGUCAGCCCUGUAGACGUUGCUCCCAGGACGCCGAGGACCCUGGGCGUCUCCACUGCCUUGGUGGCAGGUGAGGUGCCCGCUUGUCCGUCCUCCAGGAGGGCGUCCAGGCCUGCAUGGUGCUGGGUUUACGCUGCAGCCCGUGGCCGUCCACACUCCGUCAGGCCAUCUUGGCCGCCGUGUUUGCUGCCCGUGUCAUGCCAUCGACGGUGCCGCGUGGACGGGGGGCCGCGGGUUCCAGGCUCUGCUGACCCCUGGAGACUUGGCAGAGCCCUCAUGAGGCCGCGGAGACGGAACCGGAGCGCUGCUGUGGGCUCGGCCGCGGGCGUGUGGCGGGGUGCCCGCCCGGGGGUGUGGACUGGAGGCCAGGGCUGUGGCGAUCUGUCCUGGAGCGGCGUCGCGGUCGGGGUUGCGUCUGAUUACAUGGCCCCCGUCCGCGCCUCCCUGCAGCGGCCCCUCUGCUCCGCAGGCCACGGGCUGCGGGCCACAAGACCCCGGUGGCUCUCAGCGCACCACCGGCUUCAGGGUCAUGGGCAGAGUUCAUUCUGCCUGCUUCUACUCUGCCCUUCCCGCCAUGGCCGAGAGCCCGGGGACCCACCAUCCCUCACGGCGGGGUCUGGGUCUGAGCUGGGGCCGGGGCCACAGGAGGGUCGGGGCGCUCUGCUGCCUAUCUGCUCGCAGCCAGCCCCCCAGCCCUUCCGUGGAUCGAGGGCGGCCUCAGCAGCGCUCCUGCCUGCCUGGCUAAGGGGCGAGGUAGCCCAGAGGCCUCUUGGCUGCGUCUCUCUGACCGGCUUUGCUUGCAGCCGUCACAGGACCAGGCGGGCGAGCAGGCCUGGAGAGACGCCCCAGCCUUUGGGCGUCAGCGUCGCUUCCCAGAGCAGACCAGCCGCUCCUGUCUCGGGGCUUCCUCGUGGGCUGAUGGGGAUUCUGAUGCCGGUGAGCUUCCUCCAUGGGCUGCUUUCUCCGUGA
rnacentral:lncRNA from 1 species